CCAGUCUGUCUCCCCCACUGCAAAACUCAGUUGCAGUGGUCUCUAUGCCUAUUGCAAUGGCUUCCUCACUGUGCUUUAACAAAUGGAGUUUCACUCUUGUUGACCAGGCUGGAGUGCAGUGGCGCAAUCCUGGCUCACUGCAACCUCUUCCUCCCGGGUUCAAGCAAUUCUCCUGCCUCGGCCUCCUGAGUAGCUGGGAUUACAGGUUCUGUUGCUGGUCCCUAAGGGCCCUGACGAACACAGUGAGUGAAAUCUUGAAGUGCCAGCUGCUCCACACUAAAGAGUUCUGAGAAAUGAAUCUCCAGGAGGGGUGAAUUAAAGCCAUGCUUUUCAA